rnacentral:rRNA from 1 species
UCUAUGGUUUCAAGUUUUCGGACAAGAAACUGUAGAGGAUAGUGGCGAAAGGGUGAGUAUCGCGUGGGUAACGUACCUCUAAGUUGAGGACAACCCCGGGAAACCGGGGCUAAUACUGGAUGUGGUCAUUUAUCGCAUGAUAAGUUGACCAAAGAUGGGGAUCCUUCGGGACCCGUCGCUUAGAGAGCGGCCCGAGUACCAUCAGCUAGUUGGUGAGGUAAUGGCUCACCAAGGCUUUAACGGUUAGCCGGCCUGAGAGGGUGAUCGGCCACACUGGGACUGAGACACUGCCCAGACUCCUACGGGAGGCUGCAGUCGAGGAUCAUUGUCAAUGCGCGAAAGCGUGAACAUGCGACGCUGCGUGGAGGAUGACGGCCUUCGGGUUGUAAACUCCUGUCAUUCGGGACAAAUGAGUACGGUGUUAAUACCACCGUAAAAUGAUGGUACCGGAAGAGGAAGCCACGGCUAACUCUGUGCCAGCAGCCGCGGUAAUACAGAGGUGGCGAGCGUUGUUCGGAUUUACUGGGCGUAAAGCGUGCGUAGGUUGUUUUGUAUGUUGGAUGUGAAAGCCCACGGCUCACCCGUGGAAUUGCAUCCAAAACUGCAAAGCUAGAGUACAGGAGGGGAGAGCGGAAUUCUUGGUGUAGCGGUGAAAUGCGUUGAUAUCAAGAAGAACACCGGUGGCGAAGGCGGCUCUCUGGAAUGUUACUGACGCUGAGGCACGAAAGUUGGGGGAGCAAACAGGAUUAGAUACCCUGGUAGUCCCAACCGUAAACGGUGUGAACUUGGUGUGGGGGGAAUUGACCCCUCCCGUGCCGGAGCUAACGCGUUAAGUUCACCGCCUGGGGAGUACGGCCGCAAGGCUAAAACUCAAAGAAAUUGACGGGGGCCCGCACAAGCGGAGGAGCAUGUGGCUUAAUUCGAUGCAACGCGAAGAACCUUACCAGGGCUUGACAUGUAACUGCAAAUUCUGUGAAAGCAGAACUCUUUCGAAGGUGUUACACAGGUGCUGCAUGGCUGUCGUCAGUCGUGCCGUGAGGUGUUGGGUUAAGUCCCGCAACGAACGCAACCCUUGUGUUUAGUUGCCACCGCAGGUGAUGAAUCUGCGAGCACUCUAGACAGACUGCCCGUACAAGCGGGAGGAAGGUGGGGAUGACGUCAAGUCAGUAUGGCCCUUACGCCCUGGGCUGCACACGUGCUACAAUGGCCAGUACAAAGGGAAGCAAUGCCGCGAGGUGGAGCAAAUCCCCAAAACUGGCCCCAGUUCGGAUUGGAGUCUGAAACUCGACUCCAUGAAGUUGGAUUCGCUAGUAACGGCGUAUCAGCUACGACGCCGUGAAUACGUUCCCGGGCCUUGUACACACCGCCCGUCACAUCAUGAAAGCCGUCUGCACCCGAAGUCGCUGAGCUAAUCUUUCGAGAAGGCAGGUGCCGAAGGUGUGGGUGGUGAUUGG